CCUUAGUAUACCAUUUAUUGUCGAUUCUGUACUCCAAAUCUGUUACAAGCAGCAUCCAGCAAAGAAGGACCCCCCACCUCGCCCACCAGGGCUCACACUCUAUAAAACCCUGGGGGCCUAGAAAGCUCUAAAUACAUCACCAAGCACCUGGGACUAUUUGCAAUGGUUCCCUAAGUGAGGCAAAAUCGAUCCACUUUUGAAGGCAGCAUGAAGGCGAUGAGUUGGUGAGAACAAUCCCUCCUUGGGUGAAGAAGAAAGUUCAGACGGGGAGGAGUUUGGCCUGGAGGAGUGCCCACCCCGCCCCUCUCUGAACCACAGCCAUGACCUCCUCCCCAAGAUCACCACUGCCUCCCCAGCAACUCCAGUUCAAUUCCAACUGUGGGAUCUGUGGGUUGAUUUCUUUGAGUGAUUCGUAGCUAAAGGCAGGCUACCGCCCAUGUCUUUCUAGCAACUCCAGUUAUCUUGUUAUCUGUAGUUGCCUCCUCUUCAUAAACUUCCUGAGUCUGGAAAUGAUUCCUAACACUUCACUACACAGACAUCUGUGACAAUGCUGUUGCCGCCCAUGAAGAGUUCUGAGAACGGCGUUGUGCCUUUAAAUCCUGGCGAGGAGGAAAAAUAUACACUCAGCCCAACAGUCCCUUGAGGAAAGCCAGUUUUUCUUUAAUGGAUGGAUGAGUUUAACUUUUCCUGUAUUUACAAAGCUUUGGAUCCACACAGUACCAGGUGGGGUCGAAUAGCUAAGAUGACGGGGAGCAACAAGACAGUGACUCCCAUUUUCCUUGGUUUAGCAAUGAAAGCCUAGGACAGGCCAUGAAUUCUUGUAUGAGCUUAAAGAGAGAAGGAA
rnacentral:lncRNA from 1 species